AGAACGAACGCUGGCGGCAUGCCUAACACAUGCAAGUCGAACGAGACCUUCGGGUCUAGUGGCGCACGGGUGCGUAACGCGUGGGAAUCUGCCCUUGGGUUCGGGAUAACAGUUGGAAACGACUGCUAAUACCGGAUGAUGACUUCGGUCCAAAGAUUUAUCGCCCAGGGAUGAGCCCGCGUCGGAUUAGCUAGUUGGUGAGGUAAAGGCUCACCAAGGCGACGAUCCGUAGCUGGUCUGAGAGGAUGAUCAGCCACACGUGGGACUAGAGACACGGCCCAGACCUCCGUACGGGAGGCAGGCGAGGUCGGGAAUAGUUAGGACGAAGUGGGACGAAGCCUGACU
rnacentral:rRNA from 1 species